UGAACAUGGCUUGAUAAAUAGAGAUUUUAUUGUAUUUUUAUUUUAUUUUUAUUUUUAUGAAGUUGCUUUUGUUUUUUAAUCUAAAUUAUUAAAUUGGAUUUUAUUAUAGUUUAUUAUUAUUGUGAGGGUAUUUUUUUUAUUAUUUUAAAGAAGAUUUAAGUUGUUGUACCUUGUGUAUCAGGGUUGAUUAAAUUUUAUUUAAUUUUGUUUAUAUUUCCCGAAAUUAAUAGAGUUAAUACAUUAUAUAUUUUACUGUUUAAUAAUUAUUUUUAAUAGUGUAUUUGAUGUGAUACGUUAAACGAUUUUAUUUAUAUCUGGUUUCUUUAGAAAUUAAUUUAAUUUAUUUUUAAUUAUUAAUAUUGUUUUUUUCAUUAUUGGUAUUUAAGGGCUAGAGUAAAGGGGUUGAGCUUUUUAUUUAAUGAGUAAAGUUAAUUUGUUUUAUUGAUUGAUUUAGUUUAAUUAAAAGUUUUAUUUUUAUAGUGAGUUAUUUCUAGAUUGAUUGUUUUUAAUAUUUAUUAAUUUAUUUAUUUAUUAUAUAAGGAUAUUUUUUUUAAUUUAUUUUUUUUUGAGAUAAUGAUUAAAUUAGUAAAUAUUAAAUUUAUUUUGUUUUUUUUUGUUGUUGUUAGUUAAUUAUAAAGGAAUUCGGCAAAUUAUUUUUCACCUGUUUAUUAAAAACAUGUCUUUUUGUUUUAUAUUUAAGGUUUAACCUGCCCAAUGAUUAUUAUUAAAUGGCCGCAGUAUUGUGACUGUGCGAAGGUAGCAUAAUAAUUAGUUUUUUAAUUGAAAGCUUGUAUGAAGGGUUGGAUGAGAAAAUUUCUGUCUCUAUUUUAUUAUUUUGAAUUUUACUUUUUAGUUAAAAGGCUUGAAUGUUUAAUGAAGACGAGAAGACCCUAUAGAGUUUAAAAAGGUUUAGUUUUGUGAUUUGUUAGAAUUAUUGAUAGUAUAAUUAUUAUUUUUUUUAGUUGGGGUGAUUUAAAAAUUUAAUUAACUUUUUUUUGUUUACUACAUUUAUAUAUGAUUUCGAUGAUCCUUGUUUUUGAUUAUAAGAAUAAACUACCUUAGGGAUAACAGCGUUAUUUUUUUUCAGAGUUCUUAUUGAAAUUAAAGGUUGCGACCUCGAUGUUGGAUUAAAAUUUUACUUUGGUGCAGAAGCUUUAGUUUUAGGUCUGUUCGACCUUUAAAAUUUUACAUGAUCUGAGUUUAAACCGGUGUAAGCCAGGUUGGUUUCUAUCUCUUUAUUAAUUUAUUGAAUUAGUACGAAAGGACCAUUCUUUUUUUAUAUUAGUUAUGGGUUGAUUAAAAUUAAUCGUUAUUUUGGCAGAUUAGUGUGGUAGAUUUAGAUUCUAUUUAUAUAGGAGUAG
rnacentral:rRNA from 1 species